CUGCCCAGGAAGGAGGAACAGGGCCUGACCAGAGUCGGUACUCCAUAAAUAGUCCUGGAAUGAAUUCAGGAUUCCUCGGGGUGCUUCCGGAAACCAGGACACCACCCCUCCCAGCACACUUCGGAGCUGAGGAGCUGAGCCACCGGGAGACCAGAUAAAGAAACUGAGGUGCAGAGAGGAGGAGAGAUGACUCAUCCAAGGUCACACAGACUGGGAAACUGAGGCUGGUAGCACUGAAGAGGCCUGAACUAGCAAGUGGCAGCAAGAGGUCUUCAGUCAUUCACCUUGGCAUGCCUGCAGAUGGGCAGCAUGGCACAGGUCUGUAUUUCUUUGUUUGGUUAUCUGGCUUGGCUGCAUCGACUUCAAGUGCAGAUGUGCAGCUUCCUUUGCCCCUUGGUGCUGACAAUGAUCCCAGGCAUCCUGGCCUCUGCUACUCCGGUGCCUCCCUGGGGAAGGAAAUCAGGAGCAGACUUUCCAGCACCCAAGGCCUUCAACGCUGAGAAUCUUCAUCCUUAAGUUUGUUUGCUGUGGAAGAAGACCCCUACUGGUCUCCCCAGCUCACUGCUGUUGGUCUGCGGGCACUGGCCCGGAGCCCACCAUCCCCUCACUGGGAGCCACGCCGGGCUAAGCAGACACAGCCUCCCUGGGACAGGAAACCGGAGCAGGAGGACAGGAGGCAGAAGAUGCUGGAUGGCGUUCAUUCUGACUUCAGCGAGGCCCUGACGGCAAUGUCUGCCGUGAGUACGUCUCGGGGUCCCGAGCCCCUGGUCCAGGCCACUUCCAGUCCUGCUUUUCUGGAUCCAUUCAGUGAGCCUCCCCACCUCCAGUGCACAUGCACGCACACACACACACACACACAGCCUUCCAGGAGACCCCUCGGCUUAAAUCAGCCAGAUUCUUUCACACUGGCUCACAACAGAUGUCUCCAAAGUCCGCUCUUCUAGCAGCCUUGUGUCAGCAAAACUUUAGGAAAAAUGAGAGAAUUGGAGCAGCAUCCAGCAUGGGAUAAAAGGAAAAAAGACAACAAUUUUAGGAGAAGAAUGGAAAAUUUUUAAAAAGUUAACAUGUCAGCACAAAGGUAUUUGAAGAAAUGUCAAGACCCUUGAGAAUCCCUGGGGACGUGCAGGGGCCAGGACUUCUCACUGGGGUCUCGAGCCCUGUGUAAAUAUUAGGGGAGGGGUACCCUACAGGAAGCCUGGCAGAUGUCGGCACCCAGGGCCUAGGUCCUCCCCGGGUGUCCACGUGAGUCCCAUGCCUGACACAUGGAUACGAGGGGCGGCGGUGGCCACUCCCUGACACAUUGCCCUCUGGACAGCGUGGUACCCUCGCUUUCGGCCAGAGCAUCACGGCCUUGGCCAGGCGCCCUCCCCUGCUGCGGGCUUCUUCCUGCACACAUGCUGUUUUGAUUCCACGCCCCCUCAGUCUCCACUCAUUUUCCUGCCUAAUGAGGUGAGCUUCACCCAGCCCAGUGGCAGUUCCUGUAAAUGCUGGCGUUUCGAUGACCCAACGUGGUGAGCUUACAGGGAAGUGCUCCCUGAGGGCUGGGCUGGCUGGAAACAGAGGCUUGGCCCCUUGCAAGGACGGUAAUGAGGUCUGAAGGUUCUGAUGGCACGCAGGGGUGCUGUGGGCGCCAAAAGCCCUGGGCUGGCAGGGGUCAGAAGAUCUGGGCUCCAGCCCCAGACAUGCUAACUAGGCGUUCGUCUCUCCUGGGUAAAAUGGGGAUAAUGCCUCUACCGCUGUUAGGCUCCAACUGGAUGACAGAUGUAGAAUCAGUCUGAAAACCACAGAGCUCUAAGCAAGUACAAGGACAUACCAAUAGUACCGUCACUGCAGCAGUCAUUAUCAUUGUUAUUUGCACCUAGAAUCUUCUGUGGUUGGCAGAAUAUUAGGAGGCCCCCAGGGACUUUCGAUCUUGACAAUAAUCCUCUGCCCUUUGUGGUGGGUGGGCAGGACCUGUGACUAUUCGGAGCUGCAAUUCCUGUGAUUAUGUCGCCUUCCAAGGCAGAAGGGAGAUUAUGCUGGGCAGGCCUGAGCCAAUCAGGUGAGCCCUUAAACAGGACCCGCUCUUCCAGGCCAAAUCGGUGUGAAGCAUGAGAGGGAUGCGGUGCGAGAGAGCCUCCAUCGCUGGCUUUGAAGAUGGGCGGCCACGUCACAGGGAAUAUGCCAGGCCUCUGGAAGCGGAGAGUGGCCUUGGCGGACAGCUGCGAAGGAAGUGGGGACUUCAGUCCUGUAAUCACAUGGAACUGCAUGACGCCACCCACAACGGUCUUGGAAGUGGGUUUGUCCCCAGAUCCUCCAAACAUGAACUCAGUCCAACCAAUAUCUUGGAAACCAGCCUCUGUCCUCCAGAGCCGGGCGCUGCUAAACGGGACUGUCUUGAGCUGCUGGGUUUCUGGUGGUUUGUUCUGUAGCAAUAGGAAACCAAUCCAGGGGUUCCCAUUGUGGCUCAGUGGGUUAAGAACCCGACAUAGUGUCUGUGAGGAUGUGGGUUCCAUCCUGCCCUUGCACAGAAGGUUAAGGAUCUGGCGUGGCUGUGGCUGUGGUCUAGGCCGGCAGCUGCAGCUCCGAUUUGAACCCUAGCCCCGGAACCUCCAUGUGCCACAGGUGGAGCAGAAAAAAGGAAAAGAAAACGGAUCUUCCCCGAGAAGGAAGAUUUAAAGCGGAAGAGGCUCCUUCCCCAGCUCCACUCCCAGGGCAGCCCGGCUGGAAGCGAGUCCUGACUCUCCCGCUGGCUGGCGGGGGGAGGGCGGGGAUGCUGCGAGGCCUCCUUCGCCACGCAGAAGCCCAGCUGCCUCAUCUGUGAGAUGGGGAUGGAGAUGAAACGUGCAUAAAGCAUCAGAGCAUGCUCAACAUCGCUGAUUAUAAGAGAAAUGCAAAUCAAAACUACCAUGAGAUACCACCUCACACCAGUCAGAAUGGCCAUCAUUAAUAAAUCCACAAAUAACAA